rnacentral:lncRNA from 1 species
UGGUACCAAAUGAAAAGGGAAAAGCAAUACCUAUUAUUGAACUACUGAAAAAAGAGGACAGCAUUACUAGGAAGUUAACUUAGGACUUGAAGUGGUCCCUGGCUUGGCUAGAUGGGCUUUGAUUCUGUAAAUUAAUUCUAGGUAUUAUAUGCUCUGUUUCAUUGAACCUAGUGGCUAGUCCAUACCUUUUUGUUAUUCUGGCUAUAUGUUGCCCUGUUAAAAUACAGAAUUCCACUUAGCUUCAAUCCUACGCUAGUUCGAGAGGCUAUAUGGAUCAUUUCCUCCAUUAUGUUCAACUCAGGGAAUAGGGAUAUAUUCAAUAGAGAUCUAUGGUCCUUAUAUAUAUGGCUGCU